rnacentral:lncRNA from 13 species
GGACAACAACACAAAAACAUAUCAAAAGAAAACUGGAAUGAUUCAAGAAAAAAACGUGAGACUGUUCUGGGGUGAUCAGCAAAGAGCCCAGAUCUGAAUCACAUCCAUAACCUACGGUCGGAUCUGAUAACAGCAGUUGGCGGAGGGAACCCCUCAAACAAGAAUUAGAGGCAAUUUGCUGCUCAAGAGUGGGCCAAAUUGCUACUAGAAGGUGCAGCAAGCUCAUUGAUGGCUACAAGAAGCAUUUGUUGGCAGGCUAUGCAACCGGGGUGCCAAUAAUUUUGUAAUGCCAUAAAUUGUGGUCAACAGAUUAAUUCCAUCCCUUCCCCUGCUUUGAUACUCACGUUUGUAGCCAAAACAUGACAGUUAGGAGUUAAAUCAGGAUAUUCUCUCAUAAAAUUCCUUGGCCAGUCGGGCGGGUUACAGUGCCGAGAGAAAUUACGAUUUAAUGAAGCGUCCCUUGGCAGCCGUUUGGGCAGAAAAACGAUCAAUCCGCCCAAGCGUUGAAGGAAGAUACUGUGCAUGUCAGAGGUCUUUUCCUUCUUCAACUUAGUGGCCUUCCUCUGUCUUCCUUGGGCUGACAGUCUUCAAGGAUGUUUGUCUUGGUUCGAUGGGCUUGUUACUGCUUAGACUUGUGCUACUUCCGGAAAGCUCCUACCCUAUGUCUGCUUAAAUUUCUUCUCUUUUUUAUUACAGACAUCGGAAUCUUGAAAUAAGUGACCUGUGUAUUCCACUGGGGAUUUUUAAAUACUCUUUAGUCACACUCUAUGGACAUCUACUAUCAGAGGCCCUGCCAGGUUCCUAGAGGAAGAAGAGCUACGAUUAACUCUCACACACGUUCAUUGCCAGAAGUCACAAGUGCUGACAGGGGAAAUAUUACAACCAAUUCACUGACAGAAAUUGGCAACGCAGGUGAUUAGGCUGGCAGGUUAGGAUGGUGUCAGUCUCAGUUGAGCUGAUGCAAAAGUUGGGGUUUGAACAAAUGCAUUUUGGCCACAAUGUUCUCAGCACCCAGACGCUCUUGACAAUUAACAUGCAGGAUGGUCUUUUAAUUAAGAAGGGUUAGUGGUGACUUCCAGGUUAUUCAUCUUCAUUCCAGGUAGCAAAUGCUGCAGCAGUGCCUUUACCACAAGGCAUGGAACCUUAUAUUCUGCAUUAAGUAUUUCGUUUUGGAACUGCAUAAUGUUAAUAUACGGUGGCCCCGAAAGGAAAGGUAUUAAUUUAUAAUACAUUAAUAUGCCCCUCUCUGUGUUUUCAAACAUUGCCGGACAUGGGUGAUGUGCACAAUUUGGAUGCAGAACAUGGCGGAGUUCUCAUAUACCGUCAGCAAAAAAAGCCUCAUUUUACAUGGCGCUUUUGAGUGCAUUUCACACUACUUUUGGAUUAUAAUUGGAUUUUAAGGCUUUCAUGAAUGUCCUGCUUAAUAUAAUGUUUGUGUUAUUGUCACAACACAGUAUUAUACUUAAAAAACACUUCAACUUCAACCAGUAAAAUGGCUCUUUGACCUGCUUUGCUACCAGCCAUGUCAAUGAGUGUUAGCAUUCUAGCUAACAACUGCUGCAUCCAAAAUAGGUAUUAUCCAAAGAUCACAACCAAAUAAAUGUAUAAUCUUAAGGCCAAAUGCAACCAUCGAUGGCCAUCAGAUUAAUCGCCAGCUUGUCUCUCGUUAAACCAUCAAUGCAUGCUGAUUUCUAUUGCAACCAUUAUUGGCCCCC